rnacentral:rRNA from 1 species
AGCAGCCGCGGUAAUUCCAGCUCCAAUAGCGUAUAUUAAAGUUGUUGCAGUUAAAAAGCUCGUAGUUGAAUUUCGGGAUUGACAUGUUGGUCGUGCCUUAAGGGGUAUGAACUGGCAUUGUCGAUUUCUCACCUUCUGGAGAAUCACGAUGCUCUUAAUUGGGUGUCGUGUGGAUCCAGGACCUUUACCUUGAAAAAUUAGAGUGUUUAAAGCAGGCAUUUUGCUCGAAUACAUUGGCAUGGAAUAAUAAAAUAGGACGGCUUGGUUCUAUUUUGUUGGUUUCUAGGAUCACCGUAAUGAUUAAUAGGGAUAGUUGGGGGCAUUAGUAUUCAAUUGUCAGAGGUGAAAUUCUUGGAUUUAUUGAAGACUAACUACUGCGAAAGCAUUUGCCAAGGAUGUUUUCAUUAAUCAAGAACGAAAGUUAGGGGAUCGAAGACGAUCAGGUACCGU